AUUGAACGCUGGCGGCAUGCCUUACACAUGCAAGUCGAACGGCAGCACGGGAGCAAUCCUGGUGGCGAGUGGCGAACGGGUGAGUAAUAUAUCGGAACGUGCCCAGUCGUGGGGGAUAACGCAGCGAAAGCUGUGCUAAUACCGCAUACGAUCUAAGGAUGAAAGCGGGGGAUCGCAAGACCUCGCGCGAUUGGAGCGGCCGAUAUCAGAUUAGCUAGUUGGUGGGGUAAAGGCCCACAAAGGCGACGAGCUGUAGCUGGUCUGAGAGGACGACCAGCCACACUGGAACUGAGACACGGUCCAGACUCCUACGGGAGGCAGCAGUGGGGAAUUUUGGACAAUGGGCGCAAGCCUGAUCCAGCAAUGCCGCGUGCAGGAUGAAGGCCUUCGGGUUGUAAACUGCUUUUGUACGGAACGAAACGGCCCUUUCUAAUACAGGGGGCUAAUGACGGUACCGUAAGAAUAAGCACCGGCUAACUACGUGCCAGCAGCCGCGGUAA
rnacentral:rRNA from 1 species